CAUAAUUAAGAAAAAUUUUCACACAAGUUGUCAAUUCAAUAAAAUUCAAUAUCAGACAACACAUAAAUGUUGUCGGAUUAACAUGAGUAAAAUUUUCACACAAGUAUUGGUCAAUUUGAAAAUCCCUCCAAAAGUUGAGAAAAAAUAACCUUCAUAGUUAGACGACCUAUUAGUGUUGUCCGAAUGUAACUUUUAUUUUGACAAUUGAGACUAAAACAGACAUCUUUCUUCACCAACAUAUAUGUAUUGUCCCAAAAACAUACAUUUUUUUCAAAGAAAAUUAGUAUUGUCUAAGUGUAUAUUUCACCGACACAAAAAAAAAAUGUGUCGCCCCGAAGCCUCGAACCAUACAUAAUUUUGUUUGUGUCGCCUGAUGGGUGUUGCCUGAUGCAGGAAAUGGCAUAGGGAUUUCAAGGGGAACGGGAUGUUAUUUCAAGUUACCUAAUAUCAGCUGUUGCUGCUAGAAAAUUGUUAAAUAAAGGUUGUCAGGUGUAUUUAGCACACAUUGUGGAUACAGGUGUGGGAGUUUUAGGAGUGAAGGAUAUGCCUGUAGUGAGGGAGUUUCCAGAUGUUUUUCCCGAGGAGUUGCCUGGUUUGCCUCCUGUAAAGUAGAUAGACUUUACUAUUGAGUUACUUCCCGGAACUAUGCCUAUCUCACAAGCAUCUUACAGAAUGGCUCCAACGGAAUUGAAAGAGUUGAAGACUCAAUUACAAGAGUUGGUGGACAAGGGUUUUAUUCGGCCUAGCAUGUCUCCAUGGGGUGCUCCGAUGUUGUUUGUUAAGAAGAAAGUUGACACCAUGAGAUUAUGCAUUGAUUACAGGAAACUAAAUCAAGUUACUGUGAAGAAUAAAUAUCCACUGCCCCGCAUUGAUGAUUUAUUCGAUCAAUUGAGAGGUGCUACUGUCUUUUCAAAAAUCGAUUUGAGAUUGGGAUAUCAUCAGUUGCGGAUUGGGGAGAGUGACAUAGCCAAGACUGCUUUUCAAUUACGUUAUGGUCAUUAUGAAUUUGUGGUGAUGCCGUUUGGAGUUACUAAUACACCCGCUGCGUUCAUGGACCUCAUGAAUUGGGUGUUUAGUCCAUACCUUGACGGUUUCAUGAUCGUAUUUAUAGAUGACAUCUUAGUCUACUCAAGAAGUGAGAAGGAGCAUGCCAAACAUCUAAGAAUGAUAUUGCAGACUUUGAGAAAUGCUCAGCUGUAUGCUAAGUUCAACAAGUGUGAAUUUUGGCUAGAUAAAGUGGGGUUCUUAGGACAUGCGGUUUCGGCAUAAGGGGUUAGUGUGGAUUCCCAAAAGGUGGAAGCAAUAACAAAUUGGAGAAGACCUGCCACUGUGAUGGAGAUCCGUAGUUUCUUGGGGUUAGCAGGUUAUUAUCAACGUUUUGUGUAAAACUUUUCAAAGAUUGCUGCUCCUCUUACAAGAUUGACCGAGAAGGGUGUUAAGUUUGAAUGGUCAGAUCAGUGUGAGCAAAGUUUUCAAGAAUUAAAGAAUCGCCUGACUUGUCAAGACCCACCCCGAAUUUCACCCUGAAACCCGAAGUAAAUCCUACGGGGACCACCUCCAAGGAAAAUUUACCGAAAAUUCGGCAUAACCUCCCUUGAAAAUGGACAACCCUUACUAGAAAUACCUGCAUUGUCACAUCCCGACCCUUAAAUUUUUACCUUAUUUACUAGCUUGGUUAUAAUAAGAAUUUUACCGUCUCCGUCAUUGAGGUUAUGGUUUAAUUGGUCCCUAGAGGGGUUUCGGGGACGGUUAUGCUUGGAGGAUUAUUAGUAGGAGAAAAAUACGACAACGGUAAAAAUGGUGAAUUUUAGCUAGUAAAAGGUAAUUUUUAUUCGGGUAUUAUUUUUUCGGGGUGUUUUAUUUUUGGAGUUGGGUAUAAGUGUGGUGUUGGGCCGGUUUGGGUGGAGGCCCAAAACCCAUUUCUCCCUUCUCUCGUUUUCUUCCCGGUUCUUCCUCUCCCCCGAGUCCACCCGCUACCCGACUUUCCGGCUAUCCUCCCGCCGCCGUCCGGUCACCAAUCGUCGCCGCACUGGUCCCGUUCGAUCGGCCUCCGACCCAGCUUCCAUUCUAGGCUGGUGAGAGCCGCCCUAGCUCCGCCGUGAAGGAGUUCUCUCCCUCGAAAGGCUCGGCUGCCUUGGUGGUUCCAUCGCUGGAACUUCCUCCUCCGGCCACCAAUCCGGGCAAGCCUUGUACUGUUUUAAAGGUUUCCAACCCAGCCGCCUUGCCCUAAAAGGACUCACUCCGAUUUGCUUUAGGUAAGGAGAAAUUUGAGGUGGAAGUUCUAGGGCGUUUUUUAUGUUUCUGUUCGAUUGGCAUAGCUAGGCAUGGAUUUUGGGUUUGUGCUAGUUAGGAAAGUUGUAGAGGGAGUGGAGAGGAAGCUAAUGUUAAAAUUUGGUAGGAUUUAGAGGUCGUCGGAGUCGGCCUCCUGCCGGCGGAGCAGGCGGCGCCGCUGUUUGGGAGAUUUUUAUGGUUUUAAAUGUAGAAUAUUUAGGGGAGUUUAUUGUUAUGAAUUAUGGAAUUUUUGGAUGAGUUUUUGAUAGGUUUGUGAAUUUCCGAAGUUUGGUAAUUUUGGCGAAUUAAUAAUGUAGAAUCCGGCCGUUGGAUUAAAGUCGUAUAAUCUGUGGAAGAGUGUAAUUAAGGCUGGUGGUUUUAGUAUUGAGGUGUGGACCGUAUCGAAGUUAGGCAUUAAUGAGCGUGUGUAUGGCUCUCAGUUAAUUUUGCAUAUUUUGUUUAAAUAUUAUAUUUUUAGUUGGGAAAUUAAUUAUAUAUAUUUGUGUCAGAGUUCGAGGAAACCUCAUUGGAGUGGCGAUUUGGAUUUCGUCGGGCUUAUGCCUAGAGUUGUGAGUGGACGUUUGUUUUAAUUGAAAAGCAUGCGAUGAAUUAUUUUGUUGAUAAUUUAUUUCUUCUGAUGAGACUUAUUGAUUUCUCGGUUAUUUGGCAAUUCUUCCUCCUUUGGAGAGUUCUCGAAAAUGAGAUUUUUGGUGCAUAUGUUUAUUGGAUGUUAUGAGUAUAGUAUGUAUAUAAAUACUAGCUAGCCCUACGUGCUUGGUCCGUCAUAAUGAGGUAAAAUGCCAUUAUGGCGUGACGUGAGUGUUAGACACAAGUGUCAUAACCCUAUAUGAAAACUACUUUCUUUUCUGGUUUAUUUAGGUUUUCAUAUAGGGAGUCCACACGUAUAUAUACACCGUCCUCUUCGGUCAUAAUGAGGAAAAAUUCUAUUAUGGCGCGACGUGAGCGUUAGACGCAAGCGUCGUAGCCUUGUAUGAGUUUCUAUUUUUCUAAGUUGUUCAUAGAAUUUAUACAAGGAGUCUGACGAGUGUAAAUACAGACACGUAUAUGUCUAUAUAUAGUUUAGCCUGAGAGGCUCCAUUUUAUUUGAGUUGGUGACUAGCCGGAGCUAGUCGUGAAAUUGCCAAUUUUUGAGCUGAGCGUUUUUGGGCGGACGUAUGCAGUAUAAUUUCUUUGGAAAUUAAAAUGGGAAUGCACAAAUAUUUUUUUUUAAUUUAUUUUUGUCCACUCACUCUAACGUUUUCAAAUGUUUUCCCCUGGGCCUUUCGUUUUAAAAAUGCCCAGCUUGCACGUUAGCUUAGUUGAGGUCGGGCGUACAUGGAGAUGAGGCAUAGUCAUCAUAUAGCUUCCGCUUGUUAAUUAAUUAUGUUUCAUUUCUUCCUCUUAGAAUUGCUUUGAACCUAUAAAGGGUUGAAUAUGAGAUUUGUUUAGAUUAGUAAUUAAUUUGGGUGGUGUUGUGAUUUGGGGAGCACGAAGGCUCCAGGAGUUUAAGGUUGGAUUUAAAUUUUCAGAAGUGUUUGCAGGUUUUAUUAGGAAGGGUUGUCCAUUUUCAAGGGAGGUUAUGCCGAAUUUUCGGUAAACUUUCCUUGGAGGUGGUCCUCGCAGGAUUUACUUCGGGUUUCAGGGUAAAAUUCGGGAUGGAUCCUGACAGUUGGUAUCAGAGCACUAGGUUAUUCGAUUGCUUUCUCUUUUUAGUACUACCUCAUAUUAUUGGUCAUACUUAGUGUCUAUAGAGUGAUGGUCCGACCGCAGCGGAUCUAUUAGCAUUAUAUGCUUUAGACAUUAUGUGUUUAUUAAGUUUAUGAUGUAGUUGUUCUUAUCUUGUUUAUGGACAGUAUUGUACCAUAAAUGUCUAUAUCUCUAAGACUAUGCCUCCAUACGCUGACCUCUUAAGUAAAUCUUUAUGCUGUGAGUAAUGAAAAUGUGUAUGGAUCACCCCUUUUUCCAAGGUUAUCGAGUUGAUAUCAUAAAUUGUUAGAGUUCAAUUCCGAGAUGUGAACUCAUAUGCGUGGCAGCAUUCCUUUCUUGUGAUCAAUGAUUGUUUGGGUUAUGAUUAAGAUGCUAGGGUGAGCAUCUCGUGCGAAUGUGUAGAAGGUGAAAAGUUUAAUUCAAGCCUUGGAAUUUACUAAUUAUAGUGGGCAAGUGUGAAGUUGUUGUAGUCCGAUAGAAAAAUCUUGGCUUCGAGUUAUGUGACACGACCCACCCCGAAUUUCACCCUGAAACCCAGAGUAAGUCGUGCGGGGACCACCUCCAAGGAAAAUUUACUGAAAAGAUUAAGAAAAUCUCCCUUGCAGAUGGACAACCCUAACUCGAAAAUUUCAUAUUACACUCUUAAUUUAACACUUCUGAACAUCACAUAAUAUACAAAAAUUCUAAAGUAUUCAGAGCUACUAAACACAAGCGGAAGCAAGAAAACACGAGUAGGUUGAACAGGUAACCUACUGGCGAAAACUGGCAGAAAUGUGGGUGACUAUGCCUCGUCUCCUACUAGAUCCAACCCGAACUCUGCAGACUGGGCAAUUUAAAACGAAGGGCCCAGGGGAAAACAUUUAAUAACGUUAGAGUGAGUGGACAAAAAUAAAAUAAUAAUUAAAAUAUUUAUGUUUCCCCAAAUUAAAUUCUAAGGAAAAAUCGAAUGCAUGCCGCAAGCGACAAAACUUUUAUCCCAUAAAAUAUCGAGCCUCUCAGACUCUAUAAUAUAUGUAUGUAUUUACACACGUCCAUACUCCCUAUAUAAAUUCAUGGGUCUAUAUAGGGCUACUACGCUCGCGUCCAACGCUCACGUCACGCCUUAAUGCGGUGCUACACUACGCCAUCAAGGUGGACAGACGGGUGUAUAAAUAUGUGUCCAUNNNNNNNNNNNNNNNNNNNNGCUCACGUCACACCAUAAUGCGGCUAUAUGCUACGCCAUUAAGGUGGACAGACACAUAUGGCUAGCUAGCAUUUUCUAUACAUACUCCCUCAUAUAUACAUAUUUAUAUUCACCGAAAAUCCCAUUUUCGGUAACUUUCUCUCAGAGAAAUAAAAGCGUCAAAAUUAAUUGACGUCAAAACUCCAACAAAAGGAAGUGUUCAAUCAUGAACCAUAGCAUGCAUAUUAUUUCAAAUAAAAGUCCACUCACAAAUUAGGCCUAAGCCUGAUGUCGAUCUGGGAUCUCGUCUGCUCGAGCCUCCUCACGUCCUGUUUCAAAUAUAAUAUUAAUUCCCAACCAAAUAAUCCAAUAUUUAAUCACAAUAGGCAAAAUUACCUGAGAGCCAUAAUUACGCUCAUCAUUGCCUAACUUCGAUAUUCUUACAUCGGAACGAUCCGAACUUAAAUAUCAUACUCAACAGUCGUAAAUACAACCUCUCCAAAAUACGACUUAAAUCCUACGGCCGGAUUCUACAUUAAUUAACCGCCAAAAAUACCAAACUUCGGAAAUUCACAAACCUAUCCAAAUCUCAUCCAAAAAUUCCAUAAAUCACACAAAUAUACUCCUCUUAAUAUUCCACAUUUAAAACCCUAAAAAUCUCCUAACCGGCGGCGGCGCCGCCGGCGGCCGGCAGCCGUUUUCCGGCGACCUGCAAAUGCUACCAAAUUUUGGCAGCAUCUUCCUCUCAACCUCCUCUACAACAUUCCUAACUACCACAAACUCCAAUUCUAAGCCUAAGCACAUCAAUCGAACACAAAUACACAAAAAGCCCUAGAAAUUUCAAGUUCCCAUUUCUCCUUACCUAGCUCACGACGGAGCGAGCCCUUUGGAGGGAUUGAAGCACGGGAGGAGGGCUUCCUUUUGGGCUAAGGCUCGCCGGAUAUGGCAGCCGGAGGAGGGAGUUCCGGCAAGAAAACCGAUUCGGCAGUCGGAGCUUCGGGCGGCGUUUCUCCCUCACGACGGCGCUAGGGAGGCUGUCACCGGUCUAGAAAUGUUGCUGGGAGGGAGACCGACCGAACGGGACCGGUGCGGCGGCGGUUGGUGGCCGGACGGCGGCGGGAGGACGGCCGGAAAACCGGGCAGCGGGAGGCUCGGGGAGAGGAAAAGAAAAGAGGGAAGAAGAGAAAGGGAGGAGGAAAAAGAAAUGGGUUGGGCCUCCACCGGUCCAACCUAUAUCAACCCAAUUCCAAAAAUAAAAAACACCCCGAAAGAAUAAUACCCGAAUAAAAAAUUACCUUUUACUAGCUAAAAUUUACCAUUUUUACCGUCGUCGUAUUUUCCUCAUACUAAUAAUCCUCCGCACAUAAUCGUCCCCGAAACCCCUCUAGGGACCAAUUAAACUAUUUACUCAAUGAUCGAGACGGUAAAAUUCUUAUUAUAAUCACGCUAGUAAAUAAGGUAAAAAUAUAAGGGUCGGGAUGUGACAUUAUGUGACUUCUGGGAGAAAAUAGUUAGAAAGAAAGUUCGAAGUAGUGGUGUUUUCUUUUGAUGUUAAAGUUAGUUGAAGUGCUAUGGAGGGUACCUAUAGUAACUCUUUGAGGUACCUUUAUGAGUUGUUGCGGACCCUAAGCUUGAGCGAUUUAGUCACGUGGGAUUUGUGGCUAGUGUUUGGGUGGUAAGGCAUUGCUACAUAAAGAGUUAAAUGUCAAUUUAGAUAAGUCAUGAGUGAAGGCCAAUUUGCCGACUAUGUUUAUCCGCAGUAGAAAGCAGUUGGGAACAUUUUGGGAUAAUGCUGGUUGUGUCAGCAUAUAUUCUGGUUCCUAUAACUCUAAUUAUGGAUAAGUUUUUAUCUUUUGAGCAAUUUAUUAAGAUGGUGGUGGUAAUAUCUUUUAGAAAUGAUGGAUAAUAGUAGUCGAUGAAUAGUAAGAUUUCUGAUGAUUUUGGUCUCUAUUGUGGGUUAGUUGAAGUUUGUUAAAGCGCUAAGUGUAAUGACUUGGAUUGCUUUUCCUUGGGUUAGUUUUACAAAAGUCAUUGGUCAAUGUGUUGUGACAACUUCUUAUUGUGCCACAGUUGGGAAAUUUUAGAAAUUGAAUGGUGGCACUAAAUGUUUUGAGUUUCAAGCAAGUUUGGAAUCGUGGAGUGAGAUGUUAGUUGUAUAUUUUAAUCGUGGGGCAAUUAUGGAUUCUUUCAGAAUUCUAGGUGUUGAAGUUUGGUUUCUAGAUUUGUUGAGUGUUUGGGAAAUUGUAGCUUUUGUGAGUAGGUGUCUGAUUUGUCAGCAAGUAAAAGCUGAAAGGCAGAAACAUUCUGGAUUGCUUGAGCCGUUGCCUAUUCCAGUGUGGAAGUGGGACCACUUCACCAUGAAUUUUGUUUUCAGUUUACCUCGUACCCGUGAAAGGCAUGACGGUAUUUGGGUGAUUGUGGAUAGACUCACCAAGUCUGCACAUUUCUUGCCAGUAGGAAAGAAGUUCAAAUUGGAGAAGACCCGCCACUGUGACGGAGAUCCGUAGUUUCUUGGGAUUAGCAGGUUAUUAUCGGCACUCUGUGAAAGAUUUUUUCAAAGAUUGCUGCUCCUCUUACAAGAUUGACCAAGAAAGGGGUUAAGUUUGAAUGGUCAGAUCAAUGUGAGCAAGAGUGCAUGUGACACGACCCACCCCAAAUUUCAUCCUGAAACCCAGAGUAAGUCGUGCGGGGAUCACCUCCAAGGAAAAUUUACCAAAAAAUCGGCAUAACCUCCCUUGAAAAUGGACAACCCUUCCUAAUAAUACCUGCAAACACUUCUGAAAAUUUAAAUCCAACCUUAAACUUCUGGAGCCUCCGUGCUCCCAAAAUCACAACACCACCCAAAUUAUUUACUAAUCUAAACAAAUCUCAUAUCCAACAAUUUAUAGGUUCAGAGCAACUCUAAGAGGAAGAAAAGAAACAUAAUAAAUUAAGAAGCGGAAGCUAUAUGAUGACUAUGCCUCAUCCCCAUGUACGCCCGACCUCAACUAUGCAAUCCUGCAAACUGGGCAUUUUUAAAACGAAGAGCCCUGGGGAAAACAUUUGAAACACGUUAGAGUGAGUGGACAAAAAUAAAUUAACGAAUAAAAUAUUUAUAUUUCCCCAAAUCAAUUUCCAAGGAAAAUCGAAUGCAUGCGGCAAGCGAUAAAACUUUUAUCUCAUAAAUGUCGAGCCUCUCACGCUCUAUAAUAUAUGUAUUACACACGUCCAUACUCCCUAUAUAAAUUCAUGGGUGUAUAUAGGGCUACUACGCUCGCGUCCAACUCUCACGUCACGCCUUAAUGCGGUGCUACACUAAGCCAUUAAGGUGGACAGACGGGUGUAUAAAUAUGUGCCCAUACCCCCUAUAUGAAUUAAACACUCAUAUAGGGCUACUACGCUCGCGUCCAACGCUCACGUCACACCAUAAUGCGGCUAUAUGCUACGCCAUUAAGGUGGACAGACACAUAGGGCUAGCUAGCAUUUUUAUACAUACUCUCCUCAUAAAUACAUAUUUAUAUUCACUGAAAAUCCUAUUUUCGGUAACUCUCCAAGAGAAAUAAAACUGUCAAAAUAAAAUGACGUCAAAAUGCUCCACAACAUUAAUUGUUCAUCUAUGAACUAUAGCAUACAUUUUAUUUAAAACAAAAGUUCACUCACAACUUUAGGCAUAUGCCCGACGAAAUCCAAAUCGCCACUUCAGAGACGUUUCCUCGAACCCUGGCACAAAUAUAUAAUUAAUUUCCCAACUAAAACUCCAAUAUUUAAACAAAAAUAGGCAAAAUUAACCGAGAGCCAUAACUACGCUCAUCAUUGCCUAACUUCGAUAUUCUUAAAUCGAAACGAUCCGAACUUAAAUAUCAUACUCGGUAGCCGUAAUUACAACCUCCCCAAAAAUACGACUUAAAUCCUACGGCCGGAUUCUACAUUAAUUAACCGCCAAAAAUACCACACUUCGGAAAUUCAUAAACCUAUCCAAAACUCAUCCAAAAAUUCCAUAACUCACUUCAACAAACUCCCCUUAAUAUUCUAAAUUUAAAACCCUAAAAAUCUUUCAAACAGUGGCGGCGCCGGGGGCGGCUCCGCCGGCAGUGGUGGCACCGGAGGUGGCUCCGCCGGCAGCGGCGGCCGGAGGCCGAUUCCGGCGACCUCCAAAUCUUACCAAAUUUUAACAGUAGCUUCCUCUCCACUCCCUCUACAACUUUCCUAACUAGCACAAACCCAAAAUCCAAUCCUAACUAGGUCAAACGAGCAAAAAAUCUAAAACACCCUAGAACUUCCACCUGUAAUUUCUCCUUACCUGAAGCGAACCGGAGUGAGCCCUUUUAGGGUAAGGCAGCUGGGUUGGAGACUUUCAAAACCGUACCAAGCUUGCCUGGAUUGGUGGCCGGAGGAGGGAGUUCCGACGAAGUGAAGCUUUGGACAGUCGGACCUUUCGAGGGAGAGCGCUCCUUCACGGCGGAGCUAGGGAAGCUACUACCGGUCCAGGGAGGUAGCUGGGAUGAUGGCCGACCGAAUGGGACCGGUGCGGCAAUGAACGGUGGCUGGACGGCGGCGGGAGGACGGCCGGAAAACUGGGCAGCGAGAGGAGCUCUGGGAGAGAGAAAACCGGGAAGAAAAAAAAGAAGAGAAGGGAGAAAAUGGCUUUGGGCCUCCUCCCCCCAAACCGGUCCAACUUAAAUACCCACUUGAAAACAAACCCAACUCCAAAAAUAAAACACCCCGAAAAAUAAUACCCGAAUAAAAAUUACCUUUUACUAGCUAAAAUUUACCAUUUUUACCGUUGUCAUAUUUUCUCCCACGAAUAAUUCCCCGAAAUUAAUCGUCCCUCAAAACACCUCUAGGGACCGAUUAAACUAUUGCCUCAAUGACGGAGACGGUAAAAUUUUUAUUAUAACCAAGCUAGUAAAUAAGGUAAAAAUUUAAGGGUCGGGAUGUGACAACAUGGGUGUCUAAAGUAAUUUUUAAGCAGUGUCGUUCCGGGUGUCCAAGGAGACAAUUUCGAAAACACCCAAAAUACUCACUUGAAACUCAUGGUCCUUCUUGUGAACAUCUUUAUAAAUCUUUUGGCUACUAAGAGCUGCUUUAAGUCUACCUCAAACUCCUUUAACCUUUUCAUUUAAAUCCUGAAUUAUUUUAAAUCUUCUCAAAGACUCUAAAUCCUUCAUUGAACUACCACUAACGUUUACACGUAAGUGAGUUCAGUGAUACCUGUUCCAGAGUACGAGUACCCGUAGGUAUGCACACUCUUUCCUGAGCAAUGGAAAUAGUUAAACCAAAUAAAGCGCAUAAAUUUGUUAUCACCAUCGGGCUCAAAUCUCCUAACGUCACGCAACAACCUCGUCAAUACGCUGCUCACAACUCGACAAUGAAACCCACUUGCUAGGAAACUAAAGUUCACACAUUCCCACAUGCUCAUAGGGGUCAAAAUUAAGACCCGUUAAUUGAACAGAUUUUUAAAGAUGCACACACUGCAGAACUGCAACAAUCACUCCUACUACCGAGACACCUCGCAGAGUCUUUCGCGGAGCCAAAUCUCUCGCAAGUCCACAAGAUAACCUUGCUCUGCCUAAAUGACCAGUCCACCAACAAAUGAUAACUUCGAUUUUCGAGAUAACAUUAUGAAAAGAUCAAUACCACGUCACUUAGGUCUCUCCACCAAAACUAUUACAUUACCAUUUUAUGCACCACCAGACUAGCAGCUUAUGGGAAUUCCAACUCUCCUGAUUCUACUAUCUCCACUAUUCUCUUUACCACAAACCAGAAGAUAAUCGGAAACAUGACUAUCAUGUGGAAACUAGGAAUUCCCCCAUGCUCGCCAUAAACAGAACUGACUAAUAAUGCCCACGAAAAAUUGGCACAGUCAAUUCAUGAUGAUAAAUUGACGUUGAAAUCCACAUAAAUAGAACACCUCCUUUAAACAUUGACAAAAUUUACAUCUCCAGCCAUGCUACUUAUUUGGGUGCAACUGCAAGCCCAAGAGCAAUAAUUAAAAGCACACGGCUCACUCUAGCCAUUCCAUAAGAAUGAUUCUAAAUGCCAAAACCUUUGGAUCCGACAAAUACAUUUCCUUUUUUACCUCUAACAACAAUAAAUUUGAUAGCAGAAAACAAUCUGAAAAUCAGAUAUGCUCAAGUCUCCUACACAUCCCAGGCCCACGACUUUCCACUAAAAGAUUCUUCGAAAACCGAGCUUGCAAUAACAUGCGACUAACAAAAGCAAAGACAAAUUUUUAUACAAGACCCACUACUACACCUUGUGGUUCACCAACUAACGAAAACCAUGAAUUCAAGCAAGAAUCAAAACUCAUGGCUUAACUCAGCUCAAGCUCCAAAAGAAAUAAUUUAAAGCAAACGAAAAGCAGGUCCUCUAACUUCGAGCUCAAAAACUCCACAGAUCUCCGAUAUCCGCCAGAACCCGCUUUGAAAUCGCACUAGAAACCUCCACUAAUCAUCCUGACACCAACAGAUAAACGCACAACCGAAAAGCAAAGACCUCCCAAACAAAAACUUGGAUCAAUGAGUGGUCCCACCACAAAAGGAUCCUGAGAAGAGACGUUGAUCAACCUAUCAAUAAAUCUACUAUUCGCCAUAAUAAUCUCUUAAUAAACCUUGACUCGAAAAACUUCUUGAGUCAACAGGGGAAAACCUUCUCCCAUAAUGCUACAUCAUGAAAUAUACCUACAACGACACAAACCAUCAAAUCAACAUCACCAUGCAACUCUUAAACUACCACAUAGGAAUUUACGGCACCAAGACUCAUCGCUUAAAUGAACUCCAGCUCACUUGGGAUCACCACUGGAUUUAUUCUGGAUCCAUGACUAUGACACAACUACCAAAUAUCAUUUACCUUAAAACUUCGACAAAAUAACCAUAAUCUCCACCCUUCAAAUCGAAGUGUUGAAUCCGCAUUCCAAAAUUUCAAGCUCUGAGGAUACUACCUAAAAACUACAGUAGGAAUAAUUUAAUAUUCCCACACACACCACAACCAAAACUGUACUCCAUCUCACCGAAUUAGAAUUAAGGUGAGAACAGAUUCUCCCAUUGAUAUGUCGUCUAUAGUCACCCAUUGUGAACGAAAUGAUGUCAAAACCAACUUCGAUCACAAAUUUGAGACUUACAUCAACCACCCGGAAUGACAUUGCUUAAAAAUUACUUGAGACACCCAUGCACUCUUGCUUUAUGAUCCAGUGGGUUCUAUUCUACCGCUGCCACUUCCACCAAUUUCAUGCAACUACCUUAGAAUUUAUAAAAACAAAAACUCAUGACAACACCUAUUUAAAAUUUCACCAUGUGUUGCCGUAAAACUGGAGUGACCACAACCAUCCCGCUCUCACUCCACCAUUACUUUUCGAUUCCAUUACAUUAUCAUCUUCCCAAACACUCAACAAAUUUGGAAACCAAACUUCAAGACCUGGAAUCCCAAAAGAAUCCAUACUGGCCCCACGAUUAAAAUAAUAUAACCGACAACUCACUCCAUAAUUCCAAACUUGCUUGAAACUCAACAUUUAAUGCCAUCAAUAAAAUUAUAAAAUUCCCCGACUGUGGCACAACAAGAAGUUGUCACAACGCACUGACGAAUGACUUUUGUAAAACCAACAAUCCAAGUCAUUCUACUUAGUGCUUUAACAAACUUCAACUAACCCACAAUAGAAACCAAAAUCAUCAGAAAACUUACUAUUCAUCGACUACUAACAUCCAUCAUUUUCAAAAUAUAUUACCACUACCAUCUGGAUAAAAUGCUCUAAGGAUAGAAACAUAUCCAUAAUUAGCACUGCAGAAACCAGAACAUAUACCUCCAUAACCAAAAUUAUCCCAACAUGUUCCUAAUUGAUUUAUGUUGCGGAUAAAAUUGUCGGCAAAAUGGCCUUCAAUUAAGACUUAUCUAAAUUGACAUUUAGCUCUUUAUGCAGCAAUACCUUACCACCCAAUCACUAGCCACAAAUUUCGUAAAACCUUGAUUAACCCAAGACUAGGGUCCUCAACAACUCAUAUAAGUACCCCUUUGAAUUACCAUUGGAUACCUCACCUCAUCAUUUCAACUAACUUUUUCAUCAAUAGAAUACACCACUACUUCAAACUUUCCUUCCAACUCAACUCUCUCAGAAGUCACGUAACUCAAUACCAAAAUCUCCCAUCAAUCAAUUAUUGACUCCAAUCUUGCCCACAAAAAAAUGGACAACUCCAAGACAUUAAUCAUCAACAUUUCACCCAACAGAUUUGCACAAGAUGCUCACCUUAGCAUCUUAAUCUGAAACCUUAAUCUUAAUUAACCCAAUCAAUCAUUGGAUACCUGAAAGGAAUGCUAACAAGCUUUUUCGUUCCCCACUCGCAAAACAACUCCAACAAUUAAUAUCAAAGAUAUUAAAUUAAUGAACCUUGGAAUAAGUGCAAACUAUACACCUUUUCAAAAAUCGAAGGAUGAACACUCAAGAGGUCGGCGUACGGAGGCAUAGUCUUAGAGAUAUAGACAUUUAUGGCACACUACUGUCCAUAAAUAAAAGAAGAACAACUACAUCACAACCCUAAUCAACACGUAGUGUCUUAAGCAUAUAAUGCUAAUAGAUCCGCCGGGGUCGGACCAUCACUCUAUAGACACUAAGUGCGACCAAGAAUAUAAGGUAGUACUAAAAAGAGAAAGGAAACGAAUAACCUAGUGCUCUGAUACCAACUGACACGACCCACCCUAAAUUUCACCCUGAAACCCAGAGUAAGUCGUGCGGGGACCACCUCCAAGGAAAAUUUACCAAAAAAUCGGCAUAACCUCCCUUGAAAAUGGACAACCCUUCCUAAUAAUACCUGCAAACACUUCUGAAAAUUUAAAUCCAACCUUAAACUCCUGGAGCCUCCGUGCUCCCAAAAUCACAACACCACCCAAAUUAUUUACUAAUCUAAACAAAUUUCAUAUCCAACCAUUUAUAGGUUCAGAGCAACUCUAACAGGAAGAAAGGAAACAUAAUAAAUUAAGAAGCGGAAGCUAUAUGAUGACUAUGCCUCAUCCCCAUGUACGCCCGACCUCAACUAUGCAAUCCUGCAAACUGGGCAUUUUUAAAACGAAGAGCCCAGGGGAAAACAUUUGAAACACGUUAGAGUGAGUGAACAAAAAUAAAUUAACGAAUAAAAUAUUUAUGUUUCCCCAAAUCAAUUUCCAAGGAAAAUCGAAUGCAUGCGGCAAGCGAUAAAACUUUUAUCUUAUAAAUGUCGAGCCUCUCAGGCUCUAUAAUAUAUGUAUGUAUUUACACACGUCCAUACUCCCUAUAUAAAUUCAUGGGUGUAUAUAGGGCUAUAACGCUCGCGUCCAACGCUCACGUCACGCCUUAAUGCGGUGCUACACUACGCCAUUAAGGUGGACAGACGGGUGUAUAAAUAUGUGCCCAUACCCCCUAUAUGAAUUAAACACUCAUAUAGGGCUAUUACGCUCGCGUCCAACGCUCACGUCACACCAUAAUGUGGCUAUAUGCUACGCCAUUAAGGUGGACAGACACAUAGGGCUAGCUAGCAUUUUUAUACAUACUCUCCUCAUAAAUACAUAUUUAUAUUCACCGAAAAUCCCAUUUUCGGUAACUCUCCAAGAGAAAUAAAACCGUCAAAAGAAAAUGACGUCAAAAUGCUCCACAACAUUAAUUGUUCAUCAAUGAACUAUAGCAUGCAUUUUAUUUAAAACAAAAGUCCGCUCACAACUUUAGGCAUAAGCCCGACGAAAUCCAAAUCGCCACUCCAGAGAGGUUUCCUCGAACCCUAGCACAAAUAUAAAAUUAAUUUCCCAACUAAAACUCCAAUAUUUAAACAAAAUAGGCAAAAUUAACCGAGAGCCAUAACUACGCUCAUCAUUGCCUAACUUUGAUAUUCUUAAAUCAAAACGAUCCGAACUUAAAUAUCAUACUCGGCAACCGUAAUUACAACCUCCCCAAAAAUACGACUUAAAUCCUACGGCCGGAUUCUACAUUAAUUAACCGCCAAAAAUACCACACUUCAGAAAUUCAUAAAUCUAUCCAAAACUCAUCCAAAAAUUCCAUAACUCACUUCAACAAACUCCCCUUAAUAUUCUAAAUUUAAAACCCUAAAAAUCUUCCAAAUAGUGGAGGCACCGGCGGCCGGAGGCUGAUUCUGGCGACCUGCAAAUCCUACCAAAUUUUAACAGUAGCUUCCUCUCCACUCCCUCGACAACUCUCCUAACUAGCAGAAACCCAAAAUCUAAGCCUAACUAGGUCAAACGAGCAAAAACAUCUAAAACACCCUAGAAUUUCCACCUCUAAUUUCUCCUUACCUGAAGCGAACCGAAGUGAGCCCUUUUAGGGCAAGGCAGUUGGGUUGGAGACCUUCAAAACCGUACCAAUCUUUCCCGGAUUGGUGGCCGGAGGAGGGAGUUCCGGCAAAGUGAAGCUUUGGACAGUCGGACCUUUCGGGGGAGAGCGCUCCUUCACAGCAGAGCUAGGGAAGCUGCUAUCGGUCCAGGGAGGUAGCUGGGAUGAUGGUCGACUGACCGAAUGGGACCGGUGCGGCAGCGAACGGUGGUCGGACGGCGGCGGGCGGACGGCCGGAAAACUGGGUAGCGGGAGGAGCUCGGGGAGAGAGAAAACCGGGAAGAAAAAAAGAAGAGAAGGGAGAAAAUGGCUUUGGGCCUCCUCCCCCAAACCGGUCCAACUUAAAUACCCAUUUGAAAACAAACCCAACUCCAAAAAUAAAACACCCUGAAAAAUAAUACCCAAAUAAAAAUUACCUUUUACUAGCUAAAAUUUACCAUUUUUACCGUUGUCAUAUUUUCUCCCACGAAUAAUUCCCUGAAAUUAAUCGUCCCUCAAAACACCUCUAGGGACCGAUUAAACUAUUACCUCAAUGACGGAGACGGUAAAAUUCUUAUUAUAACCAAGCUAGUAAAUAAGGUAAAAAUUUAAGGGUCGGGAUGUGACAGCAUGGGUGUCCAAAGUAAUUUUUAAGCAGUGUCGUUCCGGGUGGUUGAUUUAAGUCUUGAAUUUGUGAUCGAAGUUGGUUAUUGACAUCACUUCGUUCGCAAUGGGUGAUUAACUACAACACAACAAUGGGAGGAUCUGUUCUCACCUUAUUUUUUAAUUUGGUGAGGUGGAUCAGAGUUUUAGUUGUGUUGUGUUGGAAGUAUAUAAAUUAUUCCUACUGUAGUUUUUGGGUAGCAUCCUCAAAGCUUGAAAUUUUGGAAUGCGAAUUCAACGUUUCAAUUUGAAGGAUAGAGAUUCUGGUUAUUUUGUCGAAGUUUUGAGGUAAAUGAUAAAUUGGUAGUUGUGUCGUAGUCAUGGAUCCGGAAUAAAUCUAGUGGUGAUCCCAAGUGAGCUGGAGUUCAUUUAAGUGAUGAAUCUUGGUGCCGUAAAUCCUAUGUGGUAGUUUGAGAGUUGCAUGGUGAUGUUGAUUUUAUGGUUUGUGCGUCGUUAUGGGUGUGAUUUAUGUUGUAGGUUUAGGGGAGGAGGUUUCCCCCUGUUGACUCAAGAAGCUUUUCGAGUCAAAGUUUAUUAAGAGAUUUAAUAUGGCGAAUAGUAGAUUUAUGGAUAGGUUGAUCAACGUCUCUUCUCGGGAUCGUAUUGUGGUGGGACCACUCAUUGAUCCAAGUUUGAUUUGGGAGGUCUUCGCUUUUUGGUUGUGCGUUCAUCCAUUGGUGUCAGGAUGAUUAGUUGAGGUUUCUAGUGCGAUUUUCGAAACGGGUUCUGGCGGAUAUCGGAGAUCUGUGGAGCUUUUGAGCUCGAAGUUAGAGGAUUUGCCUUUCGUAUGCUUUAAGUUAUUUCUUUUGGAACUUGAGCUUAGUUUAGCCAUGAGUUUUGAUCCUUGCUUGAAUUCAUAGUUUUCAUUGGAUGGUGAGCCACAAAGUGUAGUAGUGGACCUGAUAUGGAAAUUAAAUUUUUUUAUAUUUGUUGAUUAAUCUUGAUGCUACGAGCUCGGUUUUUCGGAGAAUCUUUUUGGUGGGAGCCGUGGCGCCUAGAAUAUGUAGGAGACUUGAGAGUAUCUGAUUUUCAGAUUGUCUUCUGCUAUCAGAUUAAUUAUUAUUGGAGGUAGAAAAAGAAGUCUGUUUGUCGGGUUCAAAGGUUUUGGUAUUUAGAAUCAUUCUUGUGGAAUGGCUAGAGUGAGCCAUGUGAUUUUAAUUGUUGCUAUUGGGGUCGCGAUUGCACCCGAAUAAGUGGCAUGGCUGGAGAUGUAAAUUUUUUUAUCAAUGCUUAAGGAAGGUGUUUUAUUUAUGUGGAUUUCAACGUCAAGUUUGGCAUCAUGAAUUGACUGUGCCAAUUUUCGUGGGCAUUAUUAGUCUGUUUUGUUUAUGGCGAGCAAGGAGGAAAUUCCAGUCUCCACAUGAUAGUCAUGCUUCAGAUUAUCUUCUGGUUUGUGGUAAAGAGAGUAGUGGAGAUAACAGAAUCAAGGAAGAGUUGGAAUUCCCAAAAGCUGCUAGUUUGUGGUUCGUAAAAUGGUAAUGUAAUAGUUUUGGUGGAGAGAUCUAAGUGUAGUGGUAUUGAUCUUUUCAUAAUGUCAUUUUGAGAUUCAAGGUUUUCAUAUGUUGGUGGACUGGUCACUUAGGCAGAGCAAGGUUGUCUUGUGGACUUGCGAGAGCUUUGACUCCGCGAAAGACUCUGCGAAAUGUCUUGGUAUUAGAAGUGAUUGUUGCAGUUCUGCAGUGUGUGCAUCCUUAAAUCUGUUUGAUUAGCGGGUCUUAAUUUUGACCCUUAUGAGCAUGUGGGACUGUGUGAACUUUAGUUUCCUAGCAAGUGGGCUUCAUUGUCGAGUUGUUAGCAGCGUAAUGACGAGGUUGUUGCGUGACGUUAGGAGAUUUGAGCCCGAUGGUGAUAGCAAAUUUAUGCGUUUUAUUUGGGUUACUUUUUUUCCAUUGCUCAGGAAAGAGUGUGCAGACCUCCGGGUACUCGUACUCUGGAACAUGUAUCGCUGAACCCGUUUACGUGUAAACGUUAGUGGUAGUUCAACGAAGGAUUUAGAGUCUUUGAGAAGAUUAAAAAUAAUUCAGUAUGCAAAUGAAAAGGUUUAAGGAGUUUGAGGUAGACUUAAAGCAGCUCUUAGUAGCCAGAAGAUUUAUAAAGAUGUUCGCAAGAAGGACCAUGAGUUUCAAGUGAGUAUUUUGGGUGUUUUCGAAAUUGUCUCCUUGGAAAUGGGUGGUACAUUUUAGUAACGUGCAAAGUUUGGUCCAAGAUUUAUUAGUCCUUAUGGGUUUUUAGAUCAAGUUGGCUCUCUUGCGUUUCAGUUAGUUUUGCUUCCAGAAUUAUUCAGGAUACAUAAUGUGUUUCAUGUAUUCAUGUUUCGCAAGUAUAUUGCCGAUUCCUCUCAUGGGUUCCAAGAGCAGCCGAUUAUUUUGUAAAAAGAUUUGACCUUUGAUGAGGAUCCGGUUCAGUUUUUAGACCAGAGGGAGCAACUGCUUAGAAGCAAAUCUUUUCCUCUUGUUAAAUUCUAUGGAGGAGUCAUCAAGUAGUAGAAGCUACUUGGGAAUCAGAGGAGCAAAUGAGGUAGCAGUAUCCUUAUAUUUGCAGAUUUGGACAGCAGCUCAUCUGGGAAAAAAAAACGGGAGAAGAAAAAACGGGAGAAAAAGUUUGGGUGUUGUCGAAAUCUGUCCAUAAUUAGUUUGUGGAGCUAUAUAUAGGUACGUAUAUGUGUAUAUAUGUUGAUUUUGAGUUUUAUUUGAGUUGAUUGAUUUUGAGUUUUAUUUGAGUUGAUCGAUUUUGAGUGUGAUUGAGUUGAUCGAUUUUGAGCACGUUUGAUGUAUAUAUAUAUAUAUAUGUGUUGAUCGAUUUGGUUGAUGAUUUGAUAAUAUAUAUGAAGUUGUUGUUAAUAAGUAGUAGAUAUAUAUAUAUGUUAAUUAAUUUAUAAUAUUGUGUUGAUGGUAUGAAGUUGUUGAUGAUAUGAGUUGAUGAUGAUUUUGUGAUGACGUUGAUAUAUAAUAUUGUUAUGUAAUUAUUAAGUAUAUAUAUGUGUUAAUUAGUUUGUUAUUAAUUAGUUGUAGUACGUAGAAUACUAAAUGAAUUGAGAUUUUAUAUAUGGAAUUUAAUUAAUAAUUAGCUAGAGUUAUACAUAUAUAUUUUGUUAUAUUUUCAGGAUAUGGAUAAGAGUUGGAUUUCGCUUCCAAAAUGGGACAAAAGAUAUGGUAAAUUUGAGAGGAUAUUUCCUCCAUAUAUAUUUUGUUAUAUUUUCAUUUAUAUCAUGUGUAAAUUUGAGAGGAUAUUUCCUCCAAAUUUUUUGACAUCAUGCCUCACCUGAUGAUCCAUCUUCCCGAGCAAUUGUUGAUUACCGAUCCAGUACACUACACUUGGAUGUAUCCCAUGGAAAGGUACGUUUUUUACACCUGAAUUCCUCAAUAUACAUGUUCAAUAAUGAUAACACUUUGCAACUUGAUUUAUAGGCAACUUAGAGACUACAAAGAUUAUGUGGCUAAUAAAUCGGCCCCUGAAGGAUAUAUAGCUGAAGCAUAUAUUGCGCACGAGUGCGUUACCUACAUGAAAUUAUAUUUAGGAGCGUUGAAGAAAACUCCGCAAACCAUACCGGUAGAUGUACCGAAGUUCAAUCUUUCCAUACUCUCCAGUGAUGUUGAAGUUUAUAGAAUUUUGCCAGAUUCCUACAAGUUGCAACCACAUGAGCUAGUCAUUGCCCACUGGUGGGUAUUGAUUAACUGUCCAGAAGUUGAAUAUUGGAAAGACAUCCAUCUAAAUUGUCCAGACAUUUAAGGUGAUCUCGAUUACCAGAACAGGGAGUUCGCAUAUUAUUUUGGCGGCUGGGUAAGUAAUUCAAUAUUUCUGUACGUGUUUAUGUUUACUGCAUAAUUAUUCAUAUUUACAGUUGAAUGGUUGGUUGCAGAUGAACCAUAUUCAAUUUGAUGGUCACCAAAAUUGGUCGCACGAACUAAGACUUCUAGCGAUGAAGCCGAUAAUGUCAAGAGUUUAUCCGAUGUGUAAGGUGAAUGGCGUGCAAUUUAUAUGUGAACAGAUAGACAGCAGACGGAGAACACAGAAUUCUGGGGUCAUGGCGCAUGGUGGGCGGAAUGGAGUUGACUAUUACGGUGUUCUCCAUUCAGUGGUGGAACUCUUUUAUGGGCAAGGCAUGACAAUGCACCUCUUUAAGUGUAGAUGGUUUGAUACUAGGCUGCAAAGCAUGAAGACCGAUCAGUACGGAAUAUUAUCGGUGAACACUGCUACAAGUUCUUACGAAAAUGACCCGUUCGUUUUUGCCACAUCAGUAAAACAAGUGUUUUAUCUUGAUGACCAUGCUAAGGGUGACGCGUGGAAAUUAGUCAACCUUGUGCACCCUCUAAACAUUUACCGAGCGGCUACACUUGGAGAGGCCGAAGACGAGGAAGAAGAUGUUGCGUAUUAAGAGCCCAGCACAAUAUGUAUUCCUAACUCCUCUACCAUUCGCCUUAGUAAUUUUAAAGCAGGUCAUUCGGUGCGAAUUCGUGAUGAAGAGCCAAGGCUUAUUGAUGUUGAUCCAAAUCAAGCAACAGACGAAGAAUCUGGCGACGAGGAAAGGCAUAGAUUACCAAAAAUUAAUUCUGACACCGAAGAAGACUCAUCGGAUGAUUCCGAUUACGAGCCCUAGUUUUAAUUCCAAUUACAUUAAUUUGUAAUAAAAAAGAAUAUAUAAUACUUAUAGUUUAUAUAUGUUGUAUUCAUAUUUCUGUUAUUUUAUAUGAAUUUUGGUGAUAUAUGAACAGAAAGUUAGUAUGGUUUAAACCUUCUGUUUUUUUAAUGUAUUUUUUAUACUUUAGCCGACGAAAUUUUUACAUAAUUCGUCAACUUAAACAAUCUUAGCCGACGAAAUAUGUAACGCCCCGUAUCCAAUUUUACCUAUUUACUGUGUAUUCUACGAGUUACUGAGGAAUUUAACCGUACUCGGUAACUUAGUAAGUUAACACUCGAGUUUAUUGGCGAGUUCUUCUGGAAAUGUCAAAUUCUUCUUUUAAGGUCUCGGUGUAGUAGUACGUGUCGACACGGGUUCUCUAGUGUCCUCGGAUUAUUUUUAGAGUGUCGAACUAUUUUCUGCAAUUUAUUGAAGGUUGGUAGAAAGAAAAUUUAUGUUUUGAAAUUUGAAAAUUUUGGAUUAAUCUUGGCCGUCGGAUCUUUAGGGUUUUGAUCUCAACCAUCGGUUCGGAUAUAAAAAGGAUAAGAGAGGGUUGACUCGGUCAAGCACCCAGACACGGGCGUUGACCCGAGCUCCUGGUCUCUCUAAUCUCUCUCUCUUUCCUCCGUCGUCUCCUCACCGGAGCAGCGCCGUCCAGCCACCGCUGGCGACGAGACUGCCACCAAAGUGAUCCUCUCCUCCUUCUUGACGUAGCUCCGUUCUUGAAUCCCGGAGGCAUCCACUAUCGACGGAGAUUGGAAGAGGAGGACGACGACUGUUCUUCACAAAUUCCGGCGAGUCACAGUGACGAAUCGACGAACCAAGGUCCUAUUCUUGAUCUCCUUCCUCUCCUCUUCUUUUAUGGGUUUGUUUCAUCUUGAAUCGAGCUCCAACUUGACAACCCCAUUUUCUGCCUAAAAAGGGAUUUCCGGCGAGCCAUCGCCAUCGACGCCGACGAGGCUGCUCGGCGCUCCCCCUCUCCCUUCUGAUGUGGCAUCGAUCACCAGGGAGCCAUGACUAGGUUAUAUGGAGACAAAAGGUGUUCUACUGCUGUGUUGGAGGAGACCCGAAUUCCGGCAAGGAAGUUACUGCCGGUGAGGGGAAGCUUAAGACGUCGUUGUUGUUGUGCUGCAGCGAAGUAGGAGGCUACUUGUAGGCUAUAUGGUGGUGGGAGGUCUUUACUUGUCGAUUGAGGGUGAAGGUUGGCUGAGCAGAGGGCAGUGUUGAUGUCCAUGAGCAGUUUUGAUGGCAGGGGUAAGUUUAUGUACUUUCAAAUGUAUCUUGAGUUGGAUGCUUGACUUUGGAGAUGGUUAAUGGCUGAUAUUGUUGUUUGGUGAAUUUCAUGUCGAUAACUUGGUGAUUCGGAAUUUACAAGGAGACUAUGGCAAAUUUUCCGGCGAGUGACGGGAAUCCGGUGAAGUUUUCUGGCGAAGCAGCAGAUCCGGCAGAGAGUCGAGAAGGUAGUUUUUGAGCAGCCUUUCUAAUUUAAGUCGUAGUGCAAUUGAUUUUGAUUAUGGUGAGGUUAUGAUUAACAAGUUCAGUUGUGCCAUUUGAGUGAAUAUUGGAUUAUGUGAUUUGGUCAUUACGUUUAUAAGUGUUGUAAUAAAUAUGGACGGUUUUGUUAAAUGGAGAAUCUGACUUCAAUUAUGGAAAAUUAUUACUGGGUGGCUCUUAAAGAAGUUGGUCUAAUAAAGGAUUUAGGUAGUGGCUUUUUCGAACAAUUCUUGUUUCCAUUACUCAAAUUGUCUUGUUUAGGAGUAAUGAAACAUUACCUAAAGAGGUCCAACUGGGAAAUGUUAAUUAGAAACGGAAGUGUGGUCACAUUACCCUAAUGAGCUUAGUACGUUAGGUGAAUUGUUGAGGAAGGGAUGCUACGAAAUUUGGGUUAAGUAUUAAUUGGCAAUUAUCAGUUUUGAUUAGGGAUCAAAUAUGCGUAAGCUUACUCAAUUGAGUUACUUAUUAAGGUCUCGAUCGUGUUAGUGUGGCACCAAAAGAAGUUAGAUCGAUAAUGGACCGUUGAGGGAAUUGUGGAGCCUUUGACCAUGGAGUCUCGGCUGAUAAUUAAUGCAACCGAAUCACUGUGAGUGGACACUUUAUUUUUAAAGGAAUAUGCAUGCAUGAUUUUAUAAGUUGUCAAUUAUAUUUUCUGAGCUUAAAUUAUGAUUUCAGCUUUUGAAUUGGUUAUGGAAUUUAUUUGAGAUUGACUGAUUGGUUAUGUUUUUGAUAAUGAAUUUAUGGAUUUGAGCUUGGGUAAGUUUUGGUAUUUGAAUUAUGAUAUCCUUUUGAUCUCUGGAUUUGAGAUUUCUUUAAAGAUUUGAGUAUGGUUUAAUUUUUGAAAAAAAUGUUAAUGAGAUGAGUUAUUUAUUUCAUUGAGCAUUUUAACGUGUGGGACACGUCAUUGAAUUUAAUUAUUUUCUUUGCUCUUUGAAUUCUUUGAGUACGGUUGGGAAUCGUACUUAUGCUUUAAUUUUGAGUUUCGGGGAAACUCACAUGGAUUUAUGUUUCUUUAUUUAUGCCAUACUUAUUGGAUCGUUAUUAUUCAUGUUAGCAUGUUGUUCCGCCUUUCGAGGCGAUGUAACUUCCACGUUUUAAGUGGGGUUACUCAAGCCCUUUCCGCCUUCGGGUGAUGUGAUGUAGUCGACGACAUCACGCAAGCCCUACAUCCUCUCUGUUAUCAUAAUAUGAAGGUGUAGGGAGUAUGAGAGUACUAUUGCCUGGGAGGCAACCGAGUCUGGGAGGCUCACUUGUAUGGCUAUAACUGUUUCUUAUUUAUUGUUGUUGACUUGACUAGCGGGGCUAGUCCAUCUUUUUGUUAUUCCUUUUGACGAAAGUCUUUAUGAAUCUUUAUUGUCGUUUUAACUAGCAGGGCUAGUCUCUUGUUUUGGUACCUUCUUCUAUGAAGGUUAUUAUUUAUCUUUGUCAUUAAUUUGACUAGUGGGGCUAGUCCGUUUUCUUGGGAUUUUCUUUAUGAAAGAUUUGUCAACACUUGCAUGCAACGGAUUUAUUGCAUAUUGGAAAGUGGGAAAGUAUUUAAGUUUUAGUUUCUUAUCCUAUGUUUAUUUUCGUCCACUCACUCUAACGUUUUUAAAUUACUUUCCCCUGGGCCCUUUGGUUUUAAAUGCCCAGAUUGCAGGCUCAGUCUAAGUGAGGUCGAGCGUACAUGGAGUCGAGGCAUAGUCAGAGGCUGCUUCCGCUUAUUCUUUAUUCAUUGUUUUUCAUUUAACUCUAGAUAUGCUCUGAUAAUCAGUUAGUGAAUUAAUGUUGGUUAUUGUUGGUUGUGGGUUUAGUUUAGUUGAGUAAUUGUUAUAUUGGGAGAUGUGUUGAACUUGGGUGAGCAGGAAGGCUCCAGGUGUUGAGGAUAGAUGUUUGGUUAUAGAAGUGUUAAGUUAGAUUUUUCAGGUAAGGGUCGUCUAUUUUUAAGGAAGGUUAUGCCGAAUUUUCGGUAAAUUUUCCUUGAAGGUGGACCCCGCAGGAUUUACUUCGGGUUUCAGGGUGAAAUUCGGGGUGGAUCCUGUCAAAAUAUAUCAUAAUUCAUCGGCUUAAAUCAUCUUAGCCGACGAAAUAAGUCAUAAUUCGUCGGCUAAGAUGAGGUUAGCCGACGAAUACCCUAAUAUUUCAUCGGCUAAACCCUAAACCCUAAACCCUAAAAUUUUUAUAUGACUUGUUGGGUCUCAUCGGUUUGAAACUAUUUUCAGUUGAAGGUCCGGGAAAAAUACGUAAUUUAGACGGUCCAAUGUUGUUUUCCGUGCGUUUAGGGGUUUGACUUACGGGAUUGACCGUCCGGAUCGAGCCCUUAACCUUGUCGAAUCAAGUUGAAUUUUUUCCCAUACAUGUAUUUUAUCAUGAUGGUCAGAUCUGACAGUGAGAUUUUGAUUUCUCAAGUUUGAUCAUCACAAUCACAACAUGCCUACUAAUGUUGUAUAACUUGUUUACCAAGUGUUUAAGUAAAUGUUCCAUUUCAAAAAUAAACUAAACUUAGAACCUACAAACGCAAAAAAGUCGUGAAAUAAGAUAUGACCAGAAUGGUGAAAUACGUCUACGGUUGAAAAAUCAAGGUAUUCCAGUAAAGUCUCAGUGCCGAUAAUUGCGGUCAAUGCAAUUUUCCAUUAUUUAUCCCUAUGGGUAGCCCUAUCUUCGGUGAUUAUUUUCCGUAAAAUUUUUAUAUGACUUGUUGGGUCUCAUCGGUUUGAAACUAUUUUCAGCUGAAGGUCCGGGCAAAAUACGUAAUUUAGACGGUCCAAUGACCUUUUCCGUGCGUUUAGGGGUUUGACUUACGGGAUUGACCGUCUGGAUCGAGCCCUUAAUGUUGUCGGAUCAAGUGGAAUUUUUUCCCAUUCAUGUAUUUUAUCAUGAUGGUCAGAUUUCCCUUUCUCAAGUUUGAUCAUCACAAUCACAAUUGGCCGAAUGUAUAAAAGGUACUUUAGCCGACGAAUUUCAACGUUUAGUCGACGAAUUUCAAGGGUUUAGCCGACGAAUUUCAAAUGUUUAGCCGACGAAUUUCAACCUUUAGCCGACGAGUUUCGUCUUAGCCAACGAGAUUUUAUAGCUUUAGCCGACGAAAUAUUUAUUUCGUCGACUAAAGUUGUCGGGUUAUAUCGCGCUGCGCUCGACAGCCUCCCCAAUCUACGAGACUAAACCCUAAACACCACCUCCACCUCCUCGCCUGCCUCGCCGUGACGCCGUCGCUCCAUAGCCUCCACCACCUCCUAGCAAAGCCCAAUCUCCCUCUCCUGGUCGCCCUCUCUCUCUCCUGGUCUCCCUCUCCCUCUCCCUAUCCUCCUGCUGCUCCAGCUGCUCCGUGAUAGGAGCACAAAGUGUGACGUUCUUAAUAUGUUUAUACCCUUUAUUUACCCUUUAUUAACUCAUAUUUAGUUGUUUUAGCUUUAUAUUUGUGUUUAGUGUAGAAUAAUUGCUUAAUUUAGAAAUAUGUAGUUUUUAGUAUUAGAAUACAUAGUAUUUUCGGAUUUGAAUAAUUUGGUGUUGAAAUUGUGCUGAGUGUUGGAAACCCUUGUUUACUCAGGAUUCCUGUCUUGAUCAAGAUUCCAUCUUUCCUCGAAGCCUAGUCCAUGAAGGAGAGGUCCAAACCAAGUCCAAUAUGGAGAAGAAGAUCUAAAUUCGGCAGAAUUUCAAGAAUAUCCAAGCCCUUGAAAAUCCGGAUUAAAUCGGGAGAAUUCCUGUACACGUGUGUCAACUUCAACGGACUCUCCAGGACAGCUCACAAUGAAUCAGAAAACGUGCCAGAUAUGGAUAGAAAGCUACGGGAGUCUAGUUUCCAAAUCAAUUGGAAUCACCUCAAUAUCUGUUUUCUAGAGGGAGUUAUGACGCAAUCAUCAGACGGAGGUCAUUCUGCCGAAAGGGAGAAAAACUAAGAAUCCUAAACCAAUUUGGUUUAGGCUUUGUGGCCGACUUCUCUAGGGUUUUUCCUCUAUAUAAAGCACGACUUCAAGGACAGAAGAGCAUCAUCAACCCGUGCAAAUAACACCAAAGCCUUUGUCGAAACUCCAUCAACCUCCAAACACCACAAUCCGAUCCCACCUUCAGCAUUCGUCCAAAGCACGUAGCCUAGGACUCCGCGCACUCGAAGAAUAGAACAAGUAGGGAUAUUUUGAAAGUGUAUUUCAUCUUCUAUUUUCGGAUUGCUAUGUGUUUGUUCUUGUUUUUGUUUGCUUUAAGUAUUUGCUUAAGUAUGUUUCGAUUCUUGUCUAUGAGAUAGAAGUACUUUUGAGCCAUGUUAUGAAUUAAAGUUUACAAUUUAUAAUCAAUGAUUUGAGGUUUUAUGCCGUGAGUUUUAUGUCUAAAUACUUUAAGAUUUUCGGUGCUAUAUUCCAUUAUCAUGUGUAGUUGAUACAAGUAGUUGAUAUUGCAUGUGUUAAUCAUCCAAAGUUCGACUUUGAUACACGUAGUUGAUAAGUUGCAUUGUCUUUGUUUUUCACCGAUUUUCUACCUAUGUUUGAUUUGGACUUGUGCUUAAACACAUCAAAUUCUUUAUGUGAUACGUAAUUGCAUGAUUAGUUUAUGUGUGUGACCAAUAAGUAGAGCAUGUAGCCGAGCUUGUUGUGUCGCGAUGUUGAAUGAAACCUGUAGUCUAAUUCUAAGUUGGUCUAUGUCAUAGGAACCACGUAGGAACUUAUGUGCAUAUCAAAUUUAGGUUGUAUAUUUGCUCACGGUGUAGACUUAAAUGAGAUUAGAAAUCGUCUUCUUUAUUCUUGCAUGGUUGUUUGGUUGAGUUUGCAUGAAUGUUGGUUGAUCACAUAUAUAUAUGUAUAGAAGUAAUUUAGGAUUUAUUAUUCUUGUCUUUUCCGAAAUCAUAAAACCUGUAAACCUAUGUGCUUAUUUUGACACUUAUAUUAGAUUAGAUGGAUCUACCCUGUAGUUGGAUCCCCGGUUUAGAACGAUCCCUGCUUGCUUUAUACUACGAUUGAUUUGUUGACAGGGUUAAUUGAUGCGUGUGCAAAUACGUCUUAUCACUCCGGCCCUCCCUCCUCCUNNNNNNNNNNNNNNNNNNNNNNNNNNNNNNNNNNNNNNNNNNNNNNNNNNNNNNNNNNNNNNNNNNNNNNNNNNNNNNNNNNNNNNNNNNNNNNNNNNNNNNNNNNNNNNNNNNNNNNNNNNNNNNNNNNNNNNNNNNNNNNNNNNNNNNNNNNNNNNNNNNNNNNNNNNNNNNNNNNNNNNNNNNNNNNNNNNNNNNNNNNNNNNNNNNNNNNNNNNNNNNNNNNNNNNNNNNNNNNNNNNNNNNNNNNNNNNNNNNNNNNNNNNNNNNNNNNNNNNNNNNNNNNNNNNNNNNNNNNNNNNNNNNNNNNNNNNNNNNNNNNNNNNNNNNNNNNNNNNNNNNNNNNNNNNNNNNNNNNNNNNNNNNNNNNNNNNNNNNNNNNNNNNNNNNNNNNNNNNNNNNNNNNNNNNNNNNNNNNNNNNNNNNNNNNNNNNNNNNNNNNNNNNNNNNNNNNNNNNNNNNNNNNNNNNNNNNNNNNNNNNNNNNNNNNNNNNNNNNNNNNNNNNNNNNNNNNNNNNNNNNNNNNNNNNNNNNNNNNNNNNNNNNNNNNNNNNNNNNNNNNNNNNNNNNNNNNNNNNNNNNNNNNNNNNNNNNNNNNNNNNNNNNNNNNNNNNNNNNNNNNNNNNNNNNNNNNNNNNNNNNNNNNNNNNNNNNNNNNNNNNNNNNNNNNNNNNNNNNNNNNNNNNNNNNNNNNNNNNNNNNNNNNNNNNNNNNNNNNNNNNNNNNNNNNNNNNNNNNNNNNNNNNNNNNNNNNNNNNNNNNNNNNNNNNNNNNNNNNNNNNNNNNNNNNNNNNNNNNNNNNNNNNNNNNNNNNNNNNNNNNNNNNNNNNNNNNNNNNNNNNNNNNNNNNNNNNNNNNNNNNNNNNNNNNNNNNNNNAAAAUUAAUUUUUAAAAGUUACAAAUCUAAAAUUUUUUUUUCAAAAGGCUGACCCCUUAGUGAGGCUCUCGCUCCAUAGCCUCGACUACGCCUUAGCCUUUUAAAACAUUGGCCUUGAUUCAAAUUAAUAUUUUAAACAGAAUGAACAGUAAUUUUAGAUCGACGAAGGGUUCGAAGGGCCAAAGGUCCGAAUCGUCUGAAGGAACCUCUAGCAACCCUCAAACGUCGUUUCAGGGCCCCACGACAGCCAAACGUGCGACCCUUUUAGAGACGAAGCAGAGGUAGCCGGAGGUGCCCCCUUCAACGAGGUAGUGGGGCGUCCCUCAUUCCUCGAGGCUGCUCUAGCCUCAGACCCAGACGGAGGUGUCUGCACCCUGUAUGUCUGAGAUACACCGGGCGCUCACUCCGGGUCCUACUUCUUCGGAUAGUGGGUCAUCUGGGGUACAGAUGCCGCCGCCUCAUCUGUUCCUUCCGCGGAUGAUAUCGGCCUUACCUGCAGUCGAUGGCUCAGGGACGCCGAUUUAUCCACUGCCCCCGCCAGUGGCUCCAACAGUGGCGUACCGGUUCGUGCCUUUUGAUACUCCUCUUAUUUCCGCGAGGGUAUCAUCAUCGGCGACAUAGACGGAAUCUGUCGCGUCCACCGCAUCGCCCUCAGGUAAGGAAAGUUGAAUGAUUUGUUUUCUUAUAAUUCUCUGAUUUUAAUAAUCAAUUUGGUUUAUCAUGUGAUAGACACCGACGGAGCGAAGCCGGCAAAGAAGAAGAGAGGCCUCGUCACAGGGAAGGCUCUCGAGAAGAUCGUCAGUACCUCAGGGAGGAUCGUCCUCCGCACUGACGGGGAUGGUGACAUAGUAUCUGGCAGGAAGUCGAGGACGUACUCCGGCCGCGUGGAAGCGCUCAUUAGGGAUAGAGUCCCUAUGUUGUGGUCAGACUGGGGCGAGGUCCCGCAGGAUGUUACGGACAUGGCCCACAACGCAAUGUCGGUGAGUUUACAAAAUGCCUCAAUAAUAUUAUGUAUUACAUUGUUGAUUUCUCAAAAAACUAAACUAAUAAAUGGUUAAAUGCAAGUGUGGUUUGAGGUUCCCGAGCACCUGAAGAGCAGCUAGGCGGAUAUUGUGCAUAGGGGAAGGUACGUUGGGAAGUUAAUGAAAAAACAAAAUUGUAUGUGAUAUUAAUAAUAUUUCUAAUAUUUUUGUUGUAUCUGUAGGUACAAGGAGUGGAAGAACGAGUUGUGAACCCAUUGGAUUACACACGGGAACACACGUUCUGGUACCCCUGUUGAGUUCCAGUACAGGGAGUACGAGUGGCGUUGGCUUCUGACAUCAGAAUUCAACAACCCUCGUAAACAGGUAUUUAAAAAAAUUAAUUAGUUAAUUUGUCAUUAAGUACGUGCGUUUUUAAAUAUUUUACUAAUAGUUUAUUUUUUUCUUUGAAAGCCGUUUCCCAGGCGAACGCUCAGAACCGGCAACGCAACACAAGGAACCAUCAUGCCGGUUCUAGACCGUUCGCUGUCUUCAUGGACGAGGCGGCCAGGGAACAUCCAGAAGUCAACCGGUACGUCUAUACGUACGAGAAGGUAUAUCCUGACGCUUAGGAGGAUAUUGUAAGUCAUCUUAUGUUUUUAAAUUUUAAUUUUACUUAUAUAUAUGUCAAAAUGUUAAUUAAUAAUUUUUUUCCUAUUCAAUUAGGCGAAGGUGAGGGAGGCUAGUGACGAGGUGAUGAGUGCUAUAGUUAGGGAGACAUGACCGGACACGCAGGAGGAAGAGAUAUCUAAAGCCAUGUCCCGGAUCGACACUACGGAUCCGACGGUUGGGGCGAGGAUCAUGGGCACAGCCUUCCCACCGCGAGCAAACAACUUCUACUGCCGGGGCCUAGGAAAGAAGGGCGAGGGUGUCCUGAAGACCACUCCAGGAUUUCAACAAAAGGCAGCCUCGACCAGCAACAGGGCCACGACCACCAAGACGACUCAACUAGAGUCGGAAGUUCAGAGACUACGGGAACAGCAAGCUACUCAGGUUGCCUAUAAUGCCGCGCAGGCAGCCUAUAAUGCCGAGAUACAUGCCAUCCAGCAGGCCCAGCAGCGGCAGAUGUUUCAGUACAUGCAGGACUUUACAGCUGCCCAGCUUCAGGGACUUCCGGCUCCACCCAUGCCUAUGGCUCUACCACUACCCCAGCCGCCGCAACCUCCGCAACAACCCCCAGAAGCGGAUAUUAAUUUAGACAAUCUAGAUUUUGUGUAGUUGAUGAAUUAUAUAGUUUUAUAUGCUUGUUGUUAGUUAUAUGAAGUUGUUUUGGUGUAUUUUGCAGCUUGCUUGGAAUGGUAAUUUAGAAAUUUCGGGUUUUUUUUUACUGGAAUGGUCUUAUAGCUGACGAAAUACGCAAUAAUUCGUCGGCUAUAGUAUUUAAAAAUUUUUUAAUAAGGUUUAGCUGACGAAUUAUGGAAUGUUUCGUCGGCUAAACCUUUCUAAAGCCGACGAAACAGACUAUAUUUCGUCGGCUUUAGUUAUUUUUUAAUUUUUUAUUACAGACUUUAGCUGACGAAUAUCUUAAAUGUUUCGUCGGCUAAAGUCUGGGAAAAAAACCGACGACAUGUUUUUCGUUGACUAAACUCUAGGACUAUAGCCGACGACGUCUUCUAGUUUCGUCGGCUAAAGUCAUCGCCGACGACCUUUUCCUGACGAAAUCUUAGCCGAUGAAGGCUAGUCGGCUAAGAUCUUAGCCGACGAAUUAAGCUAAUAGGCCGACGAAACUUUUUCGUCGCUAAAGUGCUUGUCCUGGUAGUGGGGAUUGACUCAAAGAAGCUCAAAGUGGCCAAAAGAGUUAUAAAGAUGUCCGCAGGAAGGACCAUGAGUUUCAAGUAAGUGUUUGGGCGGUUUCGAAAUUAUCUCCUUGGAAAGGGGUAGUACGUUUUGGUAAGCGUGGGAAGCUUAGUCCAAGGUAUAUUGGCCCAUAUGAGAUAAUAGAGCAAGUUGGCUCAUUUGCUUAUCGGUUAGCUUUGCCUCCAGAAUUAGCCAGGAUACAUAAUGUGUUUCAUGUAUCCAUGCUUCGCAAAUAUAUUGCUGAUCCUUCUCAUAUGCUGCAAGAGUAGCCGAUUAGUUUAACGAAAGACUUGACCCAUGAAGAGGAACCGGUUCAGAUUCUCGACCGAAAAGAGCAAGUGCUUAGGAACAAGACAAUCCCUCUUGUCAAGGUGCUUUGGAGAAGUCAUCAAGUAGAAGAAACUACUUGGGAAUCAAAGGAGCAAAUGAUGCAGCAAUAUCCUUAUCUCUUCGAAUGUCAGGUAUGUAAAUUUCGAGGAUGAAAUUUGUAUAAGGAGGGGAGAAUUGUCACAUCCCGACCCUUAAAUUUUUACCUUAUUUACUAGCUUGGUUUUAAUAAGAAUUUUACCAUCUCCGUCAUUGAGGUUAUGGUUUAAUUGGUCCCUAAAGGGCUUUCGGGGACAGUUAUGCUCGGAGGAUUAUUAGUAGGAGAAAAAUAUGACGACGAUAAAAAUGGUGAAUUUUAGCUAGUAAAAGGUAAUUUUUAUUCGGGUAUUAUUUUUCGGGGUGUUUUAUUUUUGGAGUUGGGUAUAAGUAUGGAUUUUUAGUUGGGAAAUUAAUUAUAUAUAUUUGUGCCAGAGUUCGAGGAAACCUCACUAGAGUGGCGAUUUGGAUUUCGUUGGGCUUAUGCCUAGAGUUGUGAGUGGACGUUUGUUUUAAUUGAAAAGCAUGUGAUGAAUUAUUUUGUUGAUCAUUUAUUUCUUCUGAUGAGACUUAUUGAUUUCUCGGUUAUUUGGCAAUUCUUCCUCCUUUGGAGAGUUCCCGAAAAUGAGAUUUUCGGUGGAUAUGUUUAUUGGAUGUUAUGAGUAUAGUAUGUAUAUAAAUGCUAGCUAGCCCUACGUGCUUGGUCCGUCAUAAUGAGGUAAAAUGUCAUUAUGGCGUGACGUGAGUGUUAGACACAAGCGUCAUAGCCUUAUAUGAAAACUACUUUCUUUUCUGGUUUAUUUAGGUAUUCAUAUAGAGAGUCCACACGUAUAUAUACACCGUCCUCUUCGGUCAUAAUGAGGAAAAAUUCUAUUAUGGCGCGACGUGAGGGUUAGACGCAAGCGUCGUAACUUUGUAUGAGUUUCUAUUUUCCUAAGUUGUUCAUAAAAUUCAUACAAGGAGUCUGACGAGUGUAAAUACAUACACGUAUAUGUCUAUAUAUAGUUUAGCCUAAGUGGCUCCAUUUUAUUUGAGUUGGUAACUAGCCGUAGCUAGUCGUGAAAUUGCCAGUUUUUGAGUCGAGCGCUUUUGAGCGGACGCAUGCAGUAUAAUUUAUUUGGAAAUUAAAAUGGGAAUGCAUAAAUAUUUUUAUUAAUUUAUUUUUGUCCACUCACUCUAAUGUUUUCAAAUGUUUUCCCCUGGGCCUUUCGUUUUAAAAAUGCCCAGCUGCAGGUUAGCUUAGUUAAGGUCGGGCGUACAUGGAGAUGAGGCAUAGUCAUCAUAUAGCUUCCGCUUGUUAAUUUAUUAUGUUUUCUUUUUUCCUAUUAGAGUUGCUCUUAACCUAUAAAGGGUGGGAUAUGAGAUUUGUUUAGAUUAGUAAUUAAUUGGGGUGGUGUUGUGAUUUGGGGAGCACGAAGGCUCCAGGAGUUUAAGGUUGGAUUUAAAUUUUCAGAAGUGUUUGCAAGUUUUAUUAGGAAGGGUUGUCCAUUUUCAAGGAAGGUUAUGCCGAAUUUUCGGUAAACUUUCCUUGGAGGUGGUCCCCGCAGGAUUUACUUCGGGUUUCAGGGUGAAAUUGGGGGUGGGUCCUGACAUGCAUACACUUCAAAAGAAUCCAUCUGUAACCCUCUACUCCUGGAGCCUUCGUGCUCCCCAAAUCACAACAUCUCCCAAUUUAUUUACUAACUUUAAUAAGAAAAACUCACAACCAACAAUCACAUGUUCAGAGCAACUCUAUUAGAGGAGAAAUGGACUAAAAAUAUAUAUAUGAGCGGAAGCUAUACUAUUGACUAUGUCUCUUCUCCAUGUACGCCCGACCUCAACUAUGUUAACCUGCAAACUGGUCAUUUUUAAAACGAACGACCCAGGGGAAAACAUUUAAAACCGUUAGAGUGAGUAGACAAAAGUAAAUUUAAAAGAAACGAGCAAUAAAUAUCUUUAUGCUUUCCCAAUUUAAUUUCCGAAGAAAAGUGAAUGCAUGCCUCAAACGAUAAAACUUUCAACUUAGAAAAACAUCGAGCCUCUCAAGCUCUACAAUAUAUAUGUAUGUAUUUACACACGUCCAUACUCCCUAUAUAAAUUUUAUGGAUUUAUAUAGGGCUACUACGCUCGCGUCCAACGCUCAAGUCACGCCUUAAUGCGGUGCUACACUACGCCAUUAAGGUGGACAGACGGGUGUAUAAAUAUGUGUCCAUACCCCCUAUAUGAAUUAAACACUCAUAUAGGGCUACUACGCUUACGUCCAACGCUCACGUCACACCAUAAUGCGGCUAUAUGAUACGCCAUUAAGGUGGACAGACACAUAUGGCUAGCUAGCAUUUAUAUACAUACUCUUCUCAUAAAUACAUAUUUAUAUUCACCGAAAAUCCCAUUUUCGGUAACUCUCCAAGAGAAAUAAAAUCAUCAAAAUUAAAAUGACGUCAAAUGCUCCAACAAAAUUAAUUGUUCAUCCAUGAACCAUAGCAUGCAUAUUAUUUAAAACAAAAGUCCACUCACAACUUUAGACCUAAGCCUGACGUCGAUCCGCGGUCUCUUUUGCUUGAGCCUCCUCAAGUCCUGUUUCCAAAUGUAAAAUUAAUUUCCCAACUAAAAAUCCAAAUAUUUAUACAAAAUAGGCAAAAUUAAACGUGAGCCAUAACUACGCUCAUCAUUGCCUGACUUCGAUAUUCCUAAUUCGAAAUGCUCCAAACUUCACCGAAAAAUAAUGGCAGCCUUAACACAACCUUCACAGUCUAAACGACAAUAAUCUAAUGACCGGAUCCUACCCUAUUAAUCCGCCAAAAUUAACAAACUUUAAAAAUUCUCAAACCUAUCCAAAACUUCUCCAAAAAUUCCAAUAUUCACAUCAAUAACUCCCCUUAAUAUAACCAAUUUAAAACCAUGAAAACCCCCUAAACAGUGAUAGCGGCCGGAGGCCGACUCCGGCGACCUCUAAUGCUUACCAAAUUUUGACAGCAUCUUCCUCUCAACUCACUCUACAACUUUCCUAACUUGCCCAAAUACCAAUUCCAAACCUAACUAGGACAAUCGAACCAAAACAUCAAAUUGAACCCUAGAACUUCCACUCACCGAAUCUCUUUACCUAGGCCAAGAGGGAGCAAAACCUCUUGAGGGAUCGAAGCAUAGGAGGAGAGCUCCCAAAAGAGCCAAGCAGAUCCGGCUAUGGCGGCCGGAGGAGCGAGUUCCGGCAACCAAACCAACUUGGUGCAGCCGAGCUUCCAGGCAGGAUUCCUUCCCAAUAAUAGGGCUAUGGAUUCGAUCCCCAACUCAGAAAGGCAGCAGAGGUGAUGGCCAGUCGAACGAGACUGGGGCGGCGGCCUGAUCUGGCCAAACGGCGGCGGUCGAUGGCGGCAGACUUGCUGGCAGAGAGAGAGAAAAGAAAUUGAGGGAAAGGAGAGAAAAGAGAGUUUUUUGGGCUGUUGGGCUUGUUUCCCGAUCCGGAAACUUCUUAAAAGGGUAGUUUCCCAUUUUAACUCAACCACCAAAUAAAAACUACCCCUUUCAUUUACCAGCUUUUUACCCAAUUUCCAGAGCAAACACAACUCAUAAUUGCAACUUCAUUUUCACCGCCUUUACGACUUUCCUUUAAGGAGAAGAAAAUCCCGUAAUUGUCCUCAUGUAUAAAAGUCUUCUCUGAGAUUCAUGACUAUGAGACAGUUAACAAAGGCAGUACAACUCAGGGUAAAACAACGUAAAUAAUUUAGGGUAAAAAUUUAGGGAUGUGACAUGACUAGUGCUCUUGUCUUGGCUGUCAAGACCCACCCCGAAUUUCACCUUGAAACUCGAAGUAAGUCUUGCGAGGUCCACCUCUAAGGAAAAUUUACCGAAAAAUUCGGCAAAACCUCCCUUGAAAAUGGACAACCCUAACCUGAAAAAUUCAAAGAUAACACUCCUAUAACAACAUAACACCAUCCUCAACUCUUGAAGCCACCCACUCCCCACAAUACAACUACGUCAAUAUAAUAAAACCAUCUUCUAAUCCAUCAUAUAAAUAUCCAAAUAAUAACAAACUUCAACCUUCAAAUAUUCCAAAUUUAAAUUUAAGACUUAGCACACAACCAAACUAAUAUACAUUAUCCUCAAGGUAAUCAGAGCCGCUAAAACUAGAGGAACCAAGAAAAUAUGCUGGUAGGUUAACAGAUAACCUACUGAUGAAAGGUGGUGGAGAAAUGGGUGACUAUGCCUCGCCUCCUACUAGAACCAACCCACACUCUGCAGACUGGGCAUUUUAAAACGAAGGGCCCAGGGGAAAACAUUUGGAACAGUUAGAGUGAGUGGACAAAAAUAAAUUUAAUAAAAAUAUUUAUGCUUUCCCAAUUUGAAUUUCCAUAGAAAAAUAUGCUACAUGCGACAACUCAAAAGCUCUCAACUCGUCAAUUGGCAAUUACAUGACCAGCUCCGGCUAGUCUCCAAACUUAAUAAAAUAAAACCUCUCAGGCUAAAAUAAUAUAUAUAUGUAUGUAUGUGUUUACACUCGUUAUACCCCUUGUACGAAUUCUAUGAAGGAAUAAGAAAAAUAGAAAUUCAUACAAGGCUACUACGCUUGCGUCUAACGCUCACGUCACACCAUAAUGAAAUUUACCCCACUGUGGCGGAAAAGCACGAGUGUAUAUAUAAGUGCAUAUUCCCUAUAUAAAUUACUAAAUUUAUAAAGGGCUACGACGAUUGCGUCUAACGCUCACGUGACACCAUAAUAAAAUUUUACCUCAUUAUGGCGGAAAAACACGUAUAUCUAGCUAGCAUUUAUUUUGUCACACCCCGAAUUUAGAUAAAUAAAAAUUUCAAAUUCAAGGCAUGAUAACCAAAAAGAAAAACAAUCAAUACAACAAUUUAGUUUUACAACUUGUGCAAAAUAAUUUGAAGUAAAACCUCCCUCAAAACUCACUGCAAUCUAAGUAAACAAAAGGAACAAUGCCUAUCUGCCGCAGCCUCAACUCUGCUAAACCUGACCUGCAAAAACAACCUAUACACCAUGGAUUGGUGCACCGGGUUGUAAAACAACAAACCCGGUAAGCAUUAAAAGCUCGUAUGAGUAAAUCUACAACAACAGACUCAACCCAUCAACAAACACAUAAGGUAAAACCAAGAGUUCAUGCAUUAAAAAUAAAUUCAGGAAAACACUUACAUUCAAGAGAAAUCAAAAGAAGAAAUUAAGAAAACAUAACAAUUCACAAUCACUCAAAAUCAUAAAUGAAUCCUGCAAAGAGCGUGGUUCAGGAAUUCCAUUAAAACCACACGAUUAAGAUUAAAGAAUCUCCUACGGACAAGCAUAGUUCAGGAAAUACUCAACACAAGGAAAUUAAAUGACAUCACAUAAGAACAUCACACAAUCAUUUCUCUACUCUUACUUAUGAGUUCGUCAACACUUAGUCAUCCCCCAUAAGUAACCAAACAAACGCAUACUCAUGGGUUCGUCAACACUUAGUCAUCCCCCAUGAAGUACCGACAGACAAACUAGAGCUCUAUACUGACCGUAACCAAUCACCCGGCCAAGGCUUGGUUCCCAGUCCACCACGAAGGCUCCUAAUUAAUGCACACAAUCACCACUAAGGCACAAUUCCACAACGAAUGCAGACAAUCACCACUAAGGCACCAUUCCACAACAAAUGCACACAAUCACCACUAAAGCACACAUUCACAACUAUGACCCACAAUUACCACCAAGGCACACAUUCACAACUAAGACACACAAUCACCACUAAGGCACAAUUCCACAACGAAUGCACACAAUCACCACUAAGACACCAAUAAUCACAUCAACAAAACCAAAAAUAUUAUAGUCACAAAAACUUUAAAAAUAAUCAUUUAAAUAAGAAAACUUGUUUUCUCUUUACCUAUGAGCCUUUGGCGAUCAAACUCAUAUAUUUUAAAACAAACAAAAACAAAAUUUUGAAAUCAUUAUAAUCAUCAUCAUAAUCAAAAUAAUCAUUAACUUCAUCAUAAAAAAUAAUCAUUGUCAUCAUCAUCAAAAUAAUCAUUAUCAUCAUCAUCAUCAAAAUAAUUAUUAUCUUCCUCAUCAUCAUCAUCAUAAUAAUCAUUAUCAUCCUCAUCAUAAUAAUCAAUUAUCCUUAUCGUCAACAAAAUAAUCAUUAUCAUCCUCAUUAAAAUAAUCAUUAUCAUCCUCAUCAUAAUAAUCAAUUAUCAUCAUCAACAAAAUAAUCAUUAUCAUCCUCAUCAUAAUAAUCAUUAUCAUAAAACCAUAAUAAUUUGGGUCCCAAAAGGAAACUUGGUGAGGUUUUACUCACCUUAACUCCCGCUGCGUCUUCAUAAGCACAAACGUAAGUGUCUAACUCAAAACCAAACUCCACAAGUCACCCUAUUUAAUACAAAUAUUAACCUUAGUAACCAAACAAACUAAAGAGUAACAUUUGCCCUCUUAACCCAAAACUAAAUUCCGAAGGUUUGCCCAAAGGAGGGCAACUCUCCUUCAAGACCUCCCAAGGUCCUCGAUCACUAAAAACAAAACCUCCUGCAACUGCCAAAAACGGCUCCUACAUUUGAAAUCACAAAAUCAACAACCUUACACCUCAUCGAAAAAGCUCCAACAUUAAGCAUUACAAGAUCUCAACCUAGUCUUAUAAUAUAUCAACGUGCUCACAACAACAAGAACUAGCUAACCCUUGCAACUGAACCUACACACCUUGAUAGACGCGACGCCACGCGCCACCAUAGGCAGCGGCGAGUGGGCCCCACGCGCCACCCUACCAACCUCAAAAUCUCAACAAACUUCCAACAGCAAACUUGUAGAUCGAAGCAAGGGAAGCAUCUUUUAUACCUGGAGGUUCAACCAGUUCGGGCGGAAAACGCCGGAAACUCGCCGGAAAGGUUGGAAUCCACCACCACCACUCCACAUCGAGAGUCGAGCUUCAAGACCACCAGAAAUCGAACCAAGAAGCCAAGGAGCUUCUAUCCCGACCGGUUCCAAGCCAACACGUCGCCGCCGGGGGUGGGAAUCCCGACCGGUUCUCAACUCGGAACUUCUAGGCUUGGAUUCGCACAACCCACCACAAAACCGAGCAAGCCACUACCAUAGGCAAGGUUUUGCCGCCGAGAUGAAGCGACUCCGACCGGUGCCGUCACCUGAGCCGGUCGGAGUUGGCCGAAAAAAUCUGGUCCGGUUGACCAGGUCCGGGUCGGGUCGGGUCGGCUGGAGCACUUGGAUUCUCUCCGGGUCGGAGAGAGAGAAGAAAAGGGGAAGAAAAUGGGUUCUGAAAAAUAUGAGGACCCAAAAGGAAACUUUCCUAUUUAACCCAAAAUUCCAGUAAAGCCACAAACUUCUACUGACCAAAACUUUCUCAUACGAAGUCCGUUUUACGGGUGCCACAUGUCUACGAACUCGUAUCGUCGUGCUCUACAACUUCUGUGAAGGAAGUUUCUCGAGAAACCCAACAGAUUAGAAAGUCAACUCUUGACCUUUUAGAAUAAAAUAUUUUCAAGAAAUUAAACAUUCAAACACUUCCAACCUUCCUUUGAACCUCAAAAACACACUAACUUCUAACUCGAAAAUUCCCAAAUAAUAUUAGAAACUAACUUCUAGGCAAUUGAAGCCACAUGAGAUGAGAUGAAUUACCCCACUCAUGAUCUAGAGCUUGCAACGGUAGUAUUUGCUCUCAAGUUGUGGAGACACUAUCUUUAUGGAGCCAAGUGCCAGAUUUUUACCGAUCACAAGAGUCUACGGUAUAUGUUUACUCAAAGAGAGUUAAAUAUGAGGCAGAGAAGGUGGAUGGAGUUGAUCAAUGAUUAUGAUUGCACUAUUGAGUAUCAUCUUAGGAAAGCUAAUGUGGUAGCGGAUGCUCUUAGUCGUCGAAAUCCCUCCAUGUCUUUAUCUCAUAUGAAGACGGUUCGAGUUCUACUUCUUUAUGAGUUAUGAGCUACAAGGGUGUACCUAUCGGUGGAUGAAGUUGGUGCCUUGAUAGCUAGUUUUCAUGUGAUACCAGUUUUGAUUGAUAGAGUGCGGGAGGCACAGUAUAAUGACCCUUCCAUAGUUCAGUUGAUAGAAAGAACAUUGAGUAGAACCACCGUUGAUUUUUCAGUAAGAAGAGAUGGAACUUUAUUGUUCAAAAAUAGACUUUGUGUUCCAAAAAGAAAUGAAGAGUUGAAGAAGGAGAUAUUGGAGGAAGCUCAUAGUUCUGCAUAUGCUGUCCACCUGGGUAGUACAAAAAUGUAUCAGACUUUGAAGGAUUAUUAUUGGAGGCCAAACAUGAAGAGGGAAAUUGCAGCUUUUGUGAGUAGGUGUUUGAUUUGUCAACAGGUGAAAGCUGAAAGGCAAAAACUUUAUGGGUUGCUUGAGCCGCUGUCUAUUCCAGUAUGGAAGUGGGACCAUAUCACCAUGAAUUUUGUUUUUAGUUUACCUUGAACCCGUGAUGGGCAUGACGGACUUUGGGUGAUUGUGGAUAGACUCACCAAAUCUGCACAUUUCUUGCCAGUAGGAAAGAAGUAUACAUUGGAUAAGUUGGCGGAACUUUAUGUGAAUGAGAUUGUGAGACUCCAUGGUGUACCUGAAUCAAUAGUGUCUAAACGAGAUCCUAGAUUUACUUCCAAAUUCUGGGGAGCUCUUCAAGCAGCUUUAGGCACCCGAUUACACUUCAGCACUACAUUCAUCCUCAAACUGAUGGGCAAUCCGAGAGGACUAUUUAGACUUUGGAGGAUAUGUUGAGAUCUUGUGCCUUGCAGUUUAGGGGGAGUUGGGAUAAGAACGUAUCUUUGAUGGAAUUUGCAUGCAACAACAUCUAUCAUUCUAGCAUUGGUAUGGCUCCCUUUGAGGCAUUUUACGGGAAUCAGUGUCGUACACCUUUGUGUUGAAAUGAAGUAGGAGAAAAAAGCUUUGUGGUCUGGAGAUAAUUCAUGAUACAAAUGAAAAGAUUAAAGUAGUCAAAGAUAGACUUAAAGCAACUUAAAGUAGGCAAAAGAGUUAUGCAGAUAUCUGCAGAAAGGACCUUGAGUUUCAAGUAGGUGAUUGGGUGUUCUUGAAAGUAUCCCUUUGGAAAGGAGUAGUACGAUUUGGUAAACGGGGAAAGCUUAAUCCAAGAUAUAUUGGUCAUUAUGAUAUAAUAGAGCAGGUUGGCUCACUUGCUUAUCGAUUGAAUUUGCCCCCAAAAUUGUCCAGGAUACAUGUCACAUCCCGACCCUUAUAUUUUUAUCUUAUUUACUAGCCUGAUUAUAAUAAGAAUUUUACCGUCUCCGUCAUUGAGUUAAUAGUUAUUUGGUCCCUAGAGGGGUUUCGGGGACAAUUAUGUGCGGAGGAUUAUUCGUAUGAGGAAAAUACGACGACGGUAAAAAUAGUAAAUUUUAGCUAGUAAAAGGUAAUUUUAUUCGGGUAUUAUUUUCGGGUGUUUAUUUUNNNNNNNNNNNNNNNNNNNNACCAUGAGACUAUGCAUUGAUUAUAGGAAGUUGAAUCAAGUCACAGUGAAGAAUAAAUAUCCGUUGCCUCGGAUCGAUGAUUUAUUUGAUCAGCUGAGGGGUGCCUCUGUUUUCUCUAAGAUUGAUUUGAGAUCGGGUUAUCAUCAGUUGCGGAUCCGAGAGGGGGACAUAGCCAAGACUGCUUUUCGGUCACGAUAUGGUCAUUAUGAGUUUGUGGUGAUGCGAUUUGGACUUACUAAUGCACCCGCGACAUUCAUGAAUCUCAUGAAUAGGGUGUUUAGUCCAUACCUUGAUCGUUUCGUGAUCGUAUUCAUAGAUGACAUAUUGGUUUACUCAAGAAGUGAGAAGGAGCAUGCCAAACAUCUAAGAAUAAUAUUGCGGACUUUGGAAAAGUCGCAGUUAUUUGCUAAGUUUAGCAAGUGUGAGUUUUGGCUAGAUAAAGUGGGGUUUUUGGGUCAUGUGAUUUCGGCAGAAGGAGUUAGUGUGGAUCCCCAAAAGGUGGAAGCAGUGUCGAAUUGGAGAAGACCCACCACUGUGAUGGAGAUUCGUAGUUUCUUGGGAUUAGCAGGUUAUUAUCGGCGCUUUGUGAAAGAUUUUUCAAAGAUUGCUGCUCCUCUCACAAAGUUGACCAGGAAGGGGGUUAAGUUUGAAUGGUCAGAUCAGUGCGAGCAAAGUUUUCAAGAAUUGAAGAAUUGCUUGACAAGUGCUCCUGUUUUGGCACUUCCGGAUGAUAGUGGAGAAUAUGUGGUCUAUUGUGAUGCUUCUAGACGUGGUCUAGGUGGAGUUUUGAUGCAGCAUGAUCGAGUUAUUGCCUACGCUUCUAGGCNNNNN
rnacentral:lncRNA from 1 species